GACGAACGCUGGCGGCGUGCUUAACACAUGCAAGUCGAACGCAAAGGCCCUGCUUGCAGGGUACUCGAGUGGCGAACGGGUGAGUAACACGUGGGUGAUCUGCCCUGCACUUCGGGAUAAGCCUGGGAAACUGGGUCUAAUACCGGAUAGGAGCCAUUUUUAGUGUGAUGGUUGGAAAGUUUUUUCGGUGUAGGAUGAGCUCGCGGCCUAUCAGCUUGUUGGUGGGGUAAUGGCCUACCAAGGCGGCGACGGGUAGCCGGCCUGAGAGGGUGGACGGCCACAUUGGGACUGAGAUACGGCCCAGACUCCUACGGGAGGCAGCAGUGGGGAAUAUUGCACAAUGGGCGCAAGCCUGAUGCAGCGACGCCGCGUGGGGGAUGACGGCCUUCGGGUUGUAAACUCCUUUCGCUAGGGACGAAGCUUUUUGUGACGGUACCUAGAGAAGAAGCACCGGCUAACUACGUG
rnacentral:rRNA from 1 species